rnacentral:rRNA from 1 species
GACGAACGCUGGCGGCGUGCUUAACACAUGCAAGUCGAACGGAAAGGCCCUGCUUUUGUGGGGUGCUCGAUUGGCGAACGGGUGAGUAACACGUGAGUAACCUGCCCUUGACUUUGGGAUAACUUCAGGAAACUGGGGCUAAUACCGGAUAGGAGCUCCUGCUGCAUGGUGGGGGUUGGAAAGUUUCGGCGGGUGGGGAUGGACUCGCGGCUUAUCAGCUUGUUGGUGGGGUAGUGGCUUACCAAGGCUUUGACGGGUAGCCGGCCUGAGAGGGUGACCGGCCACAUUGGGACUGCGAUACGGCCCAGACUCCUACGGGAGGCAGCAGUCGGGAAUAUUGCACAAUGGGCGGAAGCCUGAUGCAGCAACGCCGCGUGCGGGAUGACGGCCUUCGGGUUGUAAACCGCUUUCGCCUGUGACGAAGCGUGAGUGACGGUAAUGGGUAAAGAAGCACCGGCUAACUACGUG